AUUGAACGCUGGCGGCAUGCCUAACACAUGCAAGUCGAACGGAGCGGCGGACGGGUGAGUAAUGUCUAGGAAUCUGCCCGGUAGUGGGGGAUAACGUCGGGAAAGGGGCGCUAAUACCGCAUACUAUCAGAUGAGCCUAGGUCGGAUUAGCUAGUUGGUGGGGUAACGGCCUACCAAGGCGACGAUCCGUAACUGGUCUGAUAGGAUGACAAGUCACACUGGAACGGAGAAACGGUCCAGACGCCUACGGGAGGCAGCAGUGGGGAAUAUUGCGCAAUGGGCGCAAGCCUGAUGCAGCCAUGCCGCGUGUGUGAAGAAGGCCUUCGGGUUGUAAAGUACUUUCAGCGGGGAGGCGUUACCCGCAGAAGAAGCACCGGCUAACUACGUGCCAGCAGCCGCGGUAAUAC
rnacentral:rRNA from 1 species